rnacentral:rRNA from 1 species
GACGAACGCUGGCGGCGUGCUUAACACAUGCAAGUCGAACGGAAAGGCCCUGCUUUUGUGGGGUGCUCGAGUGGCGAACGGGUGAGUAACACGUGAGUAACCUGCCCUUGACUUUGGGACAACUUCAGGCAACUGGGGCUAAUACAGGCUAGGAGCUCCUGCUGCAUGGUGGGGGUUGGAAAGUUUCGGCGGUUGGGGAUGGACUUGCGGCUUAUCAGCUUGUUGGGGGGGUAGUGGCUUACCAAGGGUUUGACGGGUAGGCUGCCCUGGAGGGGGGCCGGCCACCUUGGUACUGCGGUACGGCCCAGACUCCUACGGGGGGCAGCAGUCGGGAAUAUUGCACAAUGGGCGGAAGCCUGAUGCAGCAACGCCGCGUGCGGGAUGACGGCCUUCGGGUUGUAAACCGCUUUCGCCUGUGACGAAGCGUGAGUGACGGUAAUGGGUAAAGAAGCACCGGCUAACUACGUG